GAACGCGAAGAACCUUACCUAGGUUUGACAUCCCUCGAACCCUCCUGAAAGGGAGGGGUGCCCUUCGGGGAGCGGGGUGACAGGUGCUGCAUGGCUGUCGUCAGCUCGUGCCGUGAGGUGUUGGGUUAAGUCCCGCAACGAGCGCAACCCUUGNUCCUUAGUUGCCAGCGAGUAAUGUCGGGCACUCUAGGGAGACCGCCUCGGUCAACGGGGAGGAAGGUGGGGACGACGUCAAGUCAUCAUGGCCCUUACGCCUAGGGCUACACACGUACUACAAUGGCGGAUACAAAGGGUAGCGAAGCCGCAAGGUGAAGCCAAUCUCAAAAAAUCCGUCCCAGUCCGGAUCGGGGUCUGCAACUCGACCCCGUGAAGUCGGAAUCGCUAGUAAUCGGAGAUCAGCAUGCUCCGGUGAAUACGUUCCCGGGUCUUGUACACACCG
rnacentral:rRNA from 1 species